rnacentral:rRNA from 1 species
AACGAACGCUGGCGGCAGGCUUAACACAUGCAAGUCGAACGGUUGUAGCAAUACAGCAGUGGCGCACGGGUGAGUAACGCGUGGGAACGUGCCUUGAAGUUGGGAAUAACGUCGGGAAACUGACGCUAAUACCCGAUACGCCCUCCGGGGGAAAGAUUUAUCGCUUCAAGAUCGGCCCGCGUUAGAUUAGCUAGUUGGUGGGGUAAUGGCCUACCAAGGCUCCGAUCUAUAGCUGGUCUGAGAGGAUGACCAGCCACACUGGAACUGAGACACGGUCCAGACUCCUACGGGAGGCAGCAGUGGGGAAUAUUGGACAAUGGGGGAAAGCCUGAUCCAGCCAUGCCGCGUGAAUGAUGAAGGCCUUAGGGUUGUAAAAUUCUUUUGCAGGGGAAGAUAAUGACGGUACCCUGCGAAUAAGCUCCGGCUAACUUCGUGCCAGCAGCCGCGGUAAU